rnacentral:lncRNA from 1 species
CUGACUUCGAAUCUGAACCCUUAUUGCCCAGAUUAUAACCCUUGUCUCCAAUCAACUUAAGCACGUGAAAUGGUCCGUCACCUCGAGGAUGAAACUUAGACCUCCUUUGAACCCGAAUCCAUCUCUUGCAUAUGUAAAUCCAAUCUCCUUGACAUAGAUCAAAGUGUACUCAUCUCGGCUUCUUCUUGCAAGUAUAUGAUCAUCCAAGAAUAAUUUCAGUUGAUAGAUCACAGUGCAUGUUCCUUGAUUUAUUCGGCCUAGGCAAUUGUAGUAAUGACACUUCAAAUGGCUUCAUUUUUCCCUUCAGAUCAAUGUCUUCAUUCAACCCCUUGCAUAUGAGCUCUUGGCAAAUAAAUUCCUUCCAUUGCUUUUGAAAUUCCUUUGUCCCCUCAAGGAUAACAAAAUCAAUUUCUGGCAAAUAAGAUAUCUCCAAAGAAAGAUGUUGAUGAAUGUUUUCCACCAAUUGAUGCUCAAUACUCGUCUUGUGAAGGAUUCUAAUUGCAUUAAUUUUUGGAAUCGAAUCUUUGUUGACCUGCAAAACAGAAUUAGCUAAAAUAGGGAGGGAAAUGUUAGUUUUCUCCAUCGCCCCCUCAACUUCACACUUCUGUUCAUUUAAGCUCAUUUCCAAUACUUCUUUUAUCUCCGAAGACUCUUCCUCCUUCUCAUCUCGUAACUCCAAUUCCAUUCUAGUCUCUCGACUUUCUUUUCACUUUCUCGUGGCUCUUCUUCCUUUCUCUCACAACUAACCACCUCAAUAUUUUCUCUCCUUUGCACUUUCAUGUGAUUAAUUGGUGAUUUAACCUUGUCACGAAUCCCUAAUGAUUCUAAUUUGAAUUCCCAACUCGCCAACUCACUUGAUGUACUACGCAUAUGCUUCGUCGAUCACGUCGAUCACUCCUAUAAGAUCUCCUGGGAAUCUCCCUAAAUUCCCGCUCACGUCGAUCACUCCUACAAUAAUAAUUAGGUGCAUAACGUCUCCUCAUAAUAGCCCUCAACUCAUCCCAUUUCUCAAUCGGCCUCUCACAAUACCUUUGCCUAGAUGUUUUCAACUCAUCCCACCAAAUUAAAGUAUAAUCCACAAAUGCGCCAACUACUAACUUCAACUCUUUCUCCUCGGAAUAAUUAUAGCAUCCAAACAUUAAUUCUACCUUUUCCUCCUAUGCCACAUAUGCCUCGGGAUCUUU